GGUCAGGCCAAAAACUAGACCAUGCCCCUCCCUCUCCAAUCCUUUCUUGUUCCCACACCACCGGAACUGGAAGUGGGUCUGACCGGAAGCAGACCAUCUUGGCCUGCUGGGACUCAAACCACCGAGUCCUCCUGGUCAGCCAGAGGAUCCGUGCUUUAGCUCACCCUGCCCCAUCCUCUGGUGAGGAUGAAGACAGCGACAUCCCCUGCAAUAACAAUAGGCCAGGAGGGAGCUGGAUCAGGGAAGAGGCCCUGUGGGAGAGGGAUCUGGGGUUUGUGCAGGACCUUGACUGCUUCGCAGCACCUGUCAUCAUGGGGGGGGAGCAACGGUGGGAACAGAUUCCCUAUGCAGAAGUAAGGGAGUUGAGGAAAGCCGCCAAAGAUUAUGGUCAAGGUUUUUCAUAUUUUAAAAUCAUUUUAGGUCUCACUUUUGCCAGCCACUCUUUAAUAGCCCAUGAUCUGUGGUACUAACAACUGCAUUGCUGUCUCGCACAGAAUUCCUUCUGUGGGAGAUGAAGUGGAAAAACUGCAAAAGCCUCUCAUUGCAAAACAUAACUUAAGAAAUGCAUUAGGUGAGGAAGCCAGUGAGGCUCUGGCGGGGGAAGGAGAAUUUUGUAUACCAGAAGAUCAGGCGAUCCUACCCCCGAUGUAUUAGAUGAUAUUCGAGCAGCUGCGAAAGCCACACUGUUGAAAAUCCUAGAUGGCACCACCCCCCUACAAAACUUUUUGUCUAUACACCAGGGGACAGAAGAAACAUUUAUCAAAUUUGUCAGUCACCUCAGAGAAGAAAUCAAAAGACAAAUUGAUAAUGUGGAAGCCAGGGAUGAACUUCUGAGAAAAAUGGCGAUGAGAAAUGUCAAUGCUGAGAUAAAGAAGGUUCUUAGGGCAUUGCCUCAAGAACCCGAGCCGCCCAUCCCCCAGAUGGUUGAAGCAUGCACUAAGGCAUCAUCUUUAGAAAAUACUCUUGCACUAGCUGUAAGUAAAGGGGUGGGAGAGGCAAUGAGUAAUGUAAGAUGUUUCAGCUGUGGCCAACUGGGACACUUCCAGGCCAAUUACCCUCACCUAUUAAAUAGACAAUAUAACUCAGCUCUUGUACCUUCUCCAAGACCAUUUAGGAACCAUCACCCACAAUACUGUUCAGGAAACGGGUGGCAGAGCGCAAUGCAGCCCCGCACAACGACAUCAAAUGGCCGGCUGCAUCAUCGAGGCCUCCCAACCAUCCAGGAAAACCAAUUCCCGGAUGGCACAUUUCUGAGGAUGGGAGGCACGAAGAGGGACUCAGGUUCUUCUGGACCACCUGCAACUUAAAUCAAGGAAACCGUUGGGUCCUGUACAGCCAGCUCCAUCUGCUGCUGCCCGAUGAGGACCUCGUAAAGGUUCCUGUGGGAUCCCUGGGCCCUCCCUAUCACGAACGAUCAGCUACAGCGCUCCUCCUCCGAGACAGCCACCACACCCCGGACAAAAUCACCAUCCUCUCCGAGGUGGUAGAAAUUCAACCAGGAAAUGAGAUUACUGUCUCUGUGAUGUGUCUAAAACCUCGGUUCAGUUCAUGUAAAUGGUCUCCUUUCGCACAGCUGUAUAUUCUAGAAAGACAAGAUUAUUUAAAUGCUGAAAACGAUGAUCCCAUUUAUUUCUCCCAGGACCUUACUAGAGAAAGACCCAUCAUACAUUUCUUCAUUUCGCAGAAAGGGAGAUCAAUCAAAUGUAACCUAAUGGCAGACACUGGAGCGGACAUCACCAUCCUUCCCUGAGCAAAGUGGACCCGCGAUUGGGAGUUAGUGCCCCCUUGUGGCACAGUCUCUGGUGUCGGGGGGAGCUGUGAACUGUCUCAGGAGUAAACAUCUGUGCAUACAAUCACCUUGCCUCAGGAUUUGUCCAGCAGUUCUGGAUUUACCCAGGUUUUGGGGAAGCCAGAUGGAGAGCUGCUUAAUAUGGGUGGAGGUCAGUUGACUGCCAAAAGGACUAAGAUUGUAUAAUUUUUCUUCGUGUUUGCUCUACUCUGGCUAUCACAUUUGCACUAAGGCUCCUUUUGCCCUCCUGUUCACCUAUGUGAAUGCACAGGCAGAACAUGAUUUUUUCUUCUGUACACUGAUUUUAACUCCUUGGGCUUCAGAAGAAUUACUCUUGGUUUAUUCUGGUGAGAGCUGGAGAGGCAGCUGAUUUUCUACCCUAGACAGUCAGCAAGUAAGGCAAGAGUGCAUAUUGCUAAGUUUGCUAACACUGCCUAGAAGAGCAUAUUGAAAGAUCCCCUGAAAUGCACAAUAGGAUGCAAAACUAAGAUGGAAUGCUUUGUGCAACUGAAGAGCACUUUGAUGAACUGACUGGCUGCAGAUACUGUGAAUCUCCAAUCUUGUUAUUGGCAGACAUAAAAACAACAGUGUAAACCUUUUGUCUCUUAUUCUCUCCUGAUUAUACUGGAUGUGGUGGCACAGAAUAAACAUGGCAAGGCA